rnacentral:rRNA from 1 species
AACCGGCACGGGUGGUCAGGUAGAGAAUACCAAGGCGCUGGAGAGAGCGCGGGUGAAGGAACUAGGCAAAAUGGUGCCGUAACUUCGGGAGAAGGCACGCUGACAUGUAGGUGAAGUGAUUUACUCACGGAGCUGAAGUCAGUCGAAGAUACCAGCUGGCUGCAACUGUUUAUUAAAAACACAGCACUGUGCAAACACGAAAGUGGACGUAUACGGUGUGACGCCUGCCCGGU